rnacentral:rRNA from 1 species
GCUCAGAACGAACGCUGGCGGCAGGCUUAACACAUGCAAGUCGAACGCCCCGCAAGGGGAGUGGCAGACGGGUGAGUAACGCGUGGGAACAUACCCUUUCCUGCGGAAUAGCUCCGGGAAACUGGAAUUAAUACCGCAUACGCCCUACGGGGGAAAGAUUUAUCGGGGAAGGAUUGGCCCGCGUUGGAUUAGCUAGUUGGUGGGGUAAAGGCCUACCAAGGCGACGAUCCAUAGCUGGUCUGAGAGGAUGAUCAGCCACAUUGGGACUGAGACACGGCCCAAACUCCUACGGGAGGCAGCAGUGGGGAAUAUUGGACAAUGGGCGCAAGCCUGAUCCAGCCAUGCCGCGUGAGUGAUGAAGGCCUUAGGGUUGUAAAGCUCUUUCACCGGAGAAGAUAAUGACGGU